rnacentral:misc_RNA from 1 species
CUUGUUCACAUUAACUUGAUUAGUGAUCCACUAGUGUAUGUACAAAAAGACAACUUCGUAUCUGUGUUAAAUGAUGCCGAUAUCAAAAAUCUGUAAAUGAAGCCUUAUAUAAUAUAUAAUUAAUUUUACAUGCAGCAAUGUACCGGUAGUAUGUAGGUAGGUAGGUACAUGUAUGUAUUUAGACAAAUGAUGUUUAUAAAAUAAAGUUUACUUAAUGUCACAAGUGUCUAGAUGGAAAAUAUUCAUGUUUAUAUAACAUCACUUAGGAAAUGCAAUUUUGAAAAACAAUUAAAGUGAAGUGUGAAACUACAUAAGACAACAGAAAAUAUGAUAUUUUACUCAUAUUAAUAUUCAUAAGUAAAGGGUUUGAAAGGUAAACCAACUGUGACUUUACAGUUAUUGAAUGAACAUUUACGUAGUGAAAAUGAAAAAUGCAAUUCAAUUUAGGUGAUGGUGCGUACGCCGUAUCUUGUUGUUGAGAUGCCCUCUACAUGGGUAGGACUCGGCCAUCUCUAAUUGAUUUCAUUUUUCUGAUAGUGUACAUAUACUUGCUAAUCAUAGAACUUAAGAAUAGUUUAUGUACCACAGCCAUUUACAAAUGAAGUGAUUAUUAUUUACUUUUUAUUCACGCAAUAGUAUACUUUUCAAAUACUUGCUGCAUUUUAUUUAAAAUGAUUGUCUUCUGUUUUGGUUUUUUUCUCUGUUUCUUGUUUGAAUUCAUACUGGCUGUAAGAGAAUUGAUACACGUACCGUGAUGUAUUCUAUUACAUGUAUGUUAUUUAUUAGAUAUAUGGAGUAUAAAAAUUAAUAAAAGUAGCACUUAU